GUGUUUCCUGCGGAAUAGCUCCGGGAAACUGGAAUUAAUACCGCAUACGCCCUACGGGGGAAAGAUUUAUCGGGGAAGGAUUGGCCCGCGUUGGAUUAGCUAGUUGGUGGGGUAAAGGCCUACCAAGGCGACGAUCCAUAGCUGGUCUGAGAGGAUGAUCAGCCACAUUGGGACUGAGACACGGCCCAAACUCCUACGGGAGGCAGCAGUGGGGAAUAUUGGACAAUGGGCGCAAGCCUGAUCCAGCCAUGCCGCGUGAGUGAUGAAGGCCUUAGGGUUGUAAAGCUCUUUCACCGGAGAAGAUAAUGACGGUAUCCGGAGAAGAAGCCCCGGCUAACUUCGUGCCAGCAGCCGCGGUAAUACGAAGGGGGCUAGCGUUGUUCGGAAUUACUGGGCGUAAAGCGCACGUAGGCGGAUAUUUAAGUCAGGGGUGAAAUCCCAGAGCUCAACUCUGGAACUGCCUUUGAUACUGGGUAUCUUGAGUAUGGAAGAGGUAAGUGUAAUUCCGAGUGUAGAGGUGAAAUUCGUAGAUAUUCGGAGGAACACCAGUGGCGAACGCGGCUUACUGCUCCAUUACUGACGCUGAGGUGCGAAAGCGUGGGGAGCAAACAGGAUUAGAUAUCCUGGUAGUCCACGCCGCAAACGAAGAAUGUUAUCCGUCAGGGGG
rnacentral:rRNA from 1 species